rnacentral:rRNA from 1 species
CAGCAGCCGCGGUAAUACAGAGGGUGCGAGCGUUAAUCGGAUUUACUGGGCGUAAAGCGUGCGUAGGCGGCUUUUUAAGUCGGAUGUGAAAUCCCUGAGCUUAACUUAGGAAUUGCAUUCGAUACUGGGAAGCUAGAGUAUGGGAGAGGAUGGUAGAAUUCCAGGUGUAGCGGUGAAAUGCGUAGAGAUCUGGAGGAAUACCGAUGGCGAAGGCAGCCAUCUGGCCUAAUACUGACGCUGAGGUACGAAAGCAUGGGGAGCAAACAGGAUUAGAUACCCCAGUAGUCCCUGUCUCUUAUCA